AGAGUUUGAUCCUGGCUCAGAUUGAACGCUGGCGGCAUGCCUUACACAUGCAAGUCGAACGGCAGCGGACCUUCGGGUGCCGGCGAGUGGCGAACGGGUGAGUAAUGCAUCGGAACGUGCCAUUGAGUGGGGGAUAACGUAGCGAAAGUUGCGCUAAUACCGCAUAUUCUGUGAGCAGGAAAGCAGGGGACCGCAAGGCCUUGCGCUCUUUGAGCGGCCGAUGUCAGAUUAGCUAGUUGGUGAGGUAACGGCUUACCAAGGCGACGAUCUGUAGCGGGUCUGAGAGGAUGAUCCGCCACACUGGAACUGAGACACGGUCCAGACUCCUACGGGAGGCAGCAGUGGGGAAUUUUGGACAAUGGGGGCAACCCUGAUCCAGCCAUGCCGCGUGAGUGAAGAAGGCCUUCGGGUUGUAAAGCUCUUUCGGCCGGGAAGAAAUCGCAUGGGUUAAUACCCUGUGUGGAUGACGGUACCGGCAUAAGAAGCACCGGCUAACUACGUGCCAGCAGCCGCGGUAAUACGUAGGGUGCGAGCGUUAAUCGGAAUUACUGGGCGUAAAGCGUGCGCAGGCGGUUUGGUAAGACAGGCGUGAAAUCCCCGGGCUUAACCUGGGAACUGCGUUUGUGACUGCCUCACUAGAGUACGGCAGAGGGGGGUGGAAUUCCACGUGUAGCAGUGAAAUGCGUAGAGAUGUGGAGGAACACCGAUGGCGAAGGCAGCCCCCUGGGCCGAUACUGACGCUCAUGCACGAAAGCGUGGGUAGCAAACAGGAUUAGAUACCCUGGUAGUCCACGCCCUAA
rnacentral:rRNA from 1 species